GAGCUGCACCGCCCGCGGUGCAAAAAGAAUUUCUCAAUGGAAAAAGUUGGGGUGCCUAAAGUGGCCAGCGCAAUUUUCAGCCCAUGCCUUUAUGAAUACUUCACGCGUGCCCUAACCCCCUCCAGGUGCUCCCCUCCCUUCUUCAUGUGUACGCUAACCACCUUGCUGUCCCCCUCCGCCUGAUAAGUGCAUCCCCAUGCCUUCCAGGCGGCGGCAUUCUCAGCGUCCCUAUCUCCAUCACUCACAUUGGCGGUGUCGUCGCACCUAUCCCCUCACCCGCUACCUCCAAUGCCCCUUUGUCAUCUCCAUGCGUGCCCUAACCCCCUCCCUAUCCUCCUCACGAUGAGCCAUCUUCCUCUCCUCCAUAUAUCUUGUUUAAUCAUUUAUGAGUAUAGGGCCCUAACACUUGCCAACCGUUACAAGUAUAGGGCCAACUUGAGCAUCAUCUACAUCGUGGACACCAUGAUUACCUCGUCCUCAAGCUCAUGCUGGUGGAUUGAUUGUGGGAGUGGUGGAGCUCUGGACGAUGGGUCGAUCUGAUGGACCUAUGGCUAGAGCACAUGUUUGAUUUGCCUUCAUAGUUUUUUUUUUUCCUGCUUAAUGUUCUGCUACUGUUUGAUGAAAUGCCUUAGAAUCUGUUAGAUAUUCAAUUCUCAUCUAGAGGUUAAUGGGAAUAGUGGACAUCUGCUUUACGUCCUUAGUCAGGUUGCAGCAUGCUGGAUGGUGUCGUAAGCAAGGUCUAGGCAUCAUAUCUAUAGUAACAUAUGCAUUAAGGUUCUGAACUGAUUAACCCGCAUUCAUCUUCAAGUUGGUAAUGCUGUCCUUUUGGAUGAGUUUAUUUCCCUUUUUGUCAGAGCUACCUGCCACUACAAUAGUUAGGAUUUCUUGAGUGUUGACACACUUUAGGAUGCUUGGAAAGCACAAAGCACAGCAUGGCACUCAUUUGCACCCAAAGAACGUCACAUCUUGCUGAUGGUCAGCUGCCUAUCUAGACGCUUACUACAAGUUAAGGCACUUUGAGUCAUAGUUUAAGGCAGUGUGAACUUCAUAUGGUCUGUCGUGUCAUUUUUACUUUUUUAUUAAUCUAUAUUGCACAGUUCAUGUUUUGUGACUAAGAAAAUUAACAGUAGUCACUGUAUUUGGGUUCAGUUGUUUGUUGCUAUUUUCAAAUAUUUGUUUCAUGCAAGAUGAUUUUGGCCUCUCUUAUUCACGGAGGUUGAGAUCUUGGAUACCGUAAGAGACCUUGACAUUUUGAUGUCAUGCCAGGUGACUGGGAAGCACUGCUUUAUUGCUUUAAAAGCAUGUUGAUUAUAGAAAAUGGAAAAUCAAGGGCCUCAUUGUUCAUGUGGAAGUGGUAGGAUGAAGCUUUAUAUUUCAAAAAAGCAAGCAAUUUAUGGACGUUACUUUUAUUGUUGUCCUGAUUGGAAAGACCAUCCAGGAAGUUUUGUUUGGUUGGAUGACUAUCGUGGUCCAAAGAUUAGUCGGUCCAAUGGCAUGAUACAACAAGAUCGAAACAAACACAACCAACUUUAUGCGAAGUGGAUGGUUAUUGCUUGUUGUGGAUGCAAUGCAUGCCUCAUUUUGUUGUCCAUGUUGCUAAUCUUAAUUUUACUUUUAUACAUUCUGCGUGGAUAGUAAAGAUAUGUAUGUAUAAUCUACAACCUCUAGUGGAGAGCAUAGGUUCAGUUUGCGUAUGCUACCUACCAUGCUACUAUUUGAUGAAAUGGCUUUUGGAAUUUGUUGGA